CUUGAAAUUAAUUUGAGUCGAGCUCGAGUGAGCCUAAUUUCGAGUCAAGCGAGCUCGAGCCCUGAACGAGCUGUUUGAAAUUCUUAACACCGUGCAAUCUAUAGUUUAAUUUUUAUAAAACAUUAUCUAAAAUUCGAUAAAAAAAAUGUCUAAUAGCUCAACAUACAAAAUGAAUGCAUGAAAUACAAUAUUAUAAGAUUAAAAAAAAUAGAAAAAGCGAUUCUGUGAGUGAGUGAAAAAGAGAGAAAGAGAGAGAAGUUAGAGUACAAUUUUGCUGGUUUGAUUUUGUGGGCCCAAUAAUCUAAAUUCUAUAUACAUAUAAUUAAAAUACAUAAUAUAUAUUAUUUUAUAUAAUUAAAAUAUAUAUUAUAUAUAAUUAUAUAAAGAGAGAGUUCGGCUAUUAUACUCCUAUUAGUAUAGAGCCCUUUAUACUCAUAUAAGUUUUCGAUCGUUAGAUCUAUGCUUUUGACUAUUUCCAUCCAUAAAUCAUACUAUUCAACCAAUCAUCCACCCAAUUCCAGGGGACCACUAUCAUCCUAAUUGCACAUCCAACGGCCAAAAAUUUAUAAGUAUAAAAAGAUCUACUCAAAAGAGUAUAGUAGCCCUAGCCUAUAUAUAUAUAUAUAUAUAUAAUUAGGUUACUAUACUAUUAAUAGUACCAGCCGCUUGUUAUUAAGUUUUCGGCCCUUAGAUGAAGGGAUGUGUGGUCAGAAUAAUUAUAGCCCCUUAGGGUUGAGGAGGUGGGUAGUUGAAUAGUAUGAUCUAAUGGAUGAAAAUAGCCAAAGGGUAGAUCUAAUAGUAGAAAACUCGAUAGCAUCAAACGCUUAGUAUAGUAACCGGACUUUAUAUAUAUAUAGAUAGAUCUAACGGCAGAUAACUCGAUAGCACAAAACGAUUGGUACUAUAAAUUGUAUAAUAGUCGAACUAUAUACAUAUAGAGAGAGAGUCCGGCUACUAUAUUAUCGAUAGUACGUCGUCCGCUUGGU
rnacentral:lncRNA from 1 species